rfam:Gossypium raimondii Chr09_contig_205, whole genome shotgun sequence.
CACGUCAGUGUGUUUUGCUGACGUGGCAACAAAUAGCGUCCACGUAAAAGCUAUUUGUUGCCACGUCAGCAAAGCGCGCUGAUGUGG